AUUUUGCUGGGAUGAAUCAAAAGGACGGUAUCUGAGAAAGGUGUCUCUUGAGAAAGUGGUCCUUCCUUGAUUAUACACCCCUAAACUGAUCAAAGAUUCUGAGCAAAUG